rnacentral:lncRNA from 1 species
CUCCUUUUUUUGUUUUUGUUUUUGUUUUUUUUGUCUUUUAGGGCUACACCUAUGGCAUAUGGAGUUUCCCAGUCUAGGGCUCAAAUCAGAGCUGUAGCAGCUGGACUACACCACAGCCACAGCAAUUCGGGAUCGGAACCUGUGAUCUACACUAUGCUCACAGCAACGCCAGGUCCUUGACCCACUGAGUGAGGCUAGGGAUCAAACCUGCGUCUUGAUGAAUACGAGUCAGAUUUGCUGCUGCUGAGCCACGACAGGAACUCCUCACCAUGGAACGUUUUAGGAUUGAAUUUACCAGGACCAAUUCCCAAGGGGGAGGUGGGUAUGUCUAGAACACAUAGUCCCUAAGAAUCAAUCCAGUUCUAGAGGGUCCCUUGCUUUCCUAUAGAACAAAGAUCCACCUUCUCUCUCUCUUCACUUUGGUUGAUUGACUUUUUCACUUUUCAAUACCUUGUCUGAUGGUCGAAAUUCUCAUCAUUCUUAUGACUAUGGAAAGAAGGGAGUUGAACUGUUCUUUAAGUAUAUGUAUUCAUGAUUUUUUGGACCUACUUUAUACUGAGAGUUGGUUGGCACUGAGCAUACCUCUAUUAUGGGUGUUCUUCCAGGUCAACCCAGCAUCUGAGGACCAGCAGGAUGAAAAUAAUGGAACAGAAAGUAACUCCCUGCUUCCUCUGCUCAUGGGAACCCCAGCCUCACCUUAGCCUCUCCUUCUGCUUUGGGGGUGUUCUGUGCAGAUGUCAACGAGCCUACAAACAGAAAUCUCUCUCUACCUCUCCUCUCUAGGCUGAUGUCCCUUGCAUGGCCUUGAAUUCACCCCUUGUGACCUCCCUCGUGGGGACUAAGUAAGGGGAGCACUGGUAAGCCCCAACUGAAACUGGAAAACCUGGUUCUGACGUCAGAUUCAAAGGGUGAGGGCAAGGCCAGAAACAGGAAGCCACGCUAACAGGGUCAGGGGGUGUUGGAAGUGAAGGGCAAGAGUCCAAAAUCAUGCCUUGAAAAGGGCGUGGAGGCAGGGCUACCGCCCCAGGACUCUUCAUGUCUCUCAUUGCCAGCUCCUGGGUGCUCCAUUCACAUAAAUCACAGUGUGAUUAGACAUGGAGAACAAACUUGUGGAGGCCAAGGGGGAGGGGGGAGAGGUGGGAAUGGACUGGGAGUUUGGCAUUAGCAGACUCAAAUUAUUACGCAUAGAAUGGAUAAACACCAAAGCCCUACUGUGUAGCACAGGGAACUAUAUUCAAUAUCCUGUGAUAAACCAUAAGGGAAAAGAGGAGUUCCCUUCGUGGCUCAGCAGUUAACAAACCCGACUAGGAUCCAUAUGGGUUUGAUCCCUGGCCUCACUCAGUAGGUUAAGGAUCCAGCAUUGUCCUGAGCUGUGGUAUACGUCACAGACAUGGCUCAAAUCCUGUGUUGCUGUGGCUGUGGCUGUGGUGUAGGUCGGCAGCUACAGCUCUGACUUCACCCCUAGCCUGGAGACUUCCAUAUGCCACAGGUGCGGCCCUAAAAAGACCAAAAAAAAAAAAAAAAAAGUAAAAAAAAAAAGAAAAACAUAAUAGAGAAGAAUAUUAUGAAAAAGAUUAUAUACAUGCAUUACUGAAUCACUUUGCUGUACAGCAGAAACUGACACAACUGAAUCAACUAUACUUCAAUGAAAUAAAUUUUAAAAAAUAAGAAGAAAUCACAGUGUGAUUGGCAACAACUUGAGAUGUGCAGUGCCCAACCUGCAUAACUGGACUAGCCUUGCUCUAAGACCCAGUUUGUUGUUUUGUCUUGGGCACCGGUGCUACUGUGGUGCCUAGAGGGCAUUCCCUAUAGACCUGGAUGGGGCAGACACACACUCAUCUUCCUCGUCGAUCCAUCAUCUUCUGCAUCAGAAUAUGUCACUUUUUCCCACAUCAAUAGUCUUACCCCCUCUCAGAGCUACCUCUGAGCUUAAUCCUUGAUUUCGUACUGAAUCUAGUGAUGACCACAUUGCAUUUCUCUCAGAGACUUUUUAAAAAGUUGCUUCUUCCUGGAAGAAGGCCGUCUGACAAUUCCCCCACUGUGGAGCCCUUGGUUCUCCUUAAUACAUGCUCCAGCCCAUAGCCCACUUUUCAACCUGGCCCUCAGCAGUUGCCUUUCCUUCUUGAGUAUUGUUCUGCUACAUAUCUGGAAUAUUCAGGGACUCUUUAUCCUAGGGCUUUCCGAAUUUUUUCCUCAACAUCAGCUCUGAACUUCUAGCUGUGUAUCUCUCCCACGAGGAUAUCUGACUCUUCAUGCAGACAGAUGGCCCUGACCCUUUAUCCAGGUCCCACAGUAGUGUUUAGGCCAGCCCACAAUUGUGUCAUCCUUCCAGGAACGUGGUGGGAUGGCACUUAACCCCUCUUAGAAGUUCUAUGUGGUGUGUGACUUGUUGGGUCAAUGAAAUGUGAGCAGAUAUGACACUUCUAGGCAGAGGCUUUGGAAGUUAGGGCUGUCCUGCCCCUUUCCCCUGAUGAGAUGACCAAAAAGACAUGUCGUGAAGGAGCCAGGAUUACCGGAGUUCUUGAAUAGUGGACUCAUUGAGUAGAGCCCACCUGACAACUGUGUUGGACAUGUAAGAUGAGGAAGAAAUAAACUUGGGUGGUGUGAAGAAACUGGAAUUUGAGGUUGUUUGUUAUUGCUGCAUAACCUUAGCUCUCCUGACUGACAUAAGGUCCUAAAGGUCUGGAAUUGUGGCCAGUACACCCGACUCAGGCUUUUGUGAUCUAUGUCUACCAAACCAAGAUGGCAGCCCAGAAAACAGCUAGUGAAGCUGUUGGUAAUCAUCAUCUCCAAGAGUUCCCUUCAUAGCUCAGCAGGUUACGAACCUGGCUAGUAUCCAUGAGGACACAGGUUCAAUCCCUGGCCUCACUCAGUGUGUUAAGGAUCUAGCAUUGCCGAGAGCUGUAGUGUAGGUCACAGACCCAGCUCAAAUCCUGCGUUGCUAUAGCUGUAGUGUAGGCCGGCAGCUGCAGCUCUGAUUGGACCCCUAGCCUGGGAACUUCUGUAUGCCACAGGUGUGGCC